rnacentral:rRNA from 1 species
CAAUAGCGUAUAUUAAAGUUGUUGCAGUUAAAAAGCUCGUAGUUGGAUUUGUGGUGUACUUCGGCGGCCCGUCACUAUGUGAUGGAGCUUGCUGAAGUCGCCAUCCUUGGGUGGAUCCUGUGUGGCAUUAAGUUGUCGUGCAGGGGAUGCCCAUCGUUUACUGUGAAAAAAUUAGAGUGUUCAAAGCAGGCUUAUGCCGUUGAGUAUAUUAGCAUGGAAUAAUAAGAUAGGACCUUGGUACUAUUUUGUUGGUUUGCGCACCAAGGUAAUGAUUAAUAGGGACAGUUGGGGGUAUUCGUAUUUCAUUGUCAGAGGUGAAAUUCUUGGAUUUUUGAAAGACGAACUACUGCGAAANCANNNACCAAGGAUGUUUUCAUNAA